rnacentral:lncRNA from 1 species
ACUUUCUUUUAAUGACUUUUUGGCUCAGAGCCCAAACUGGAUCAAAGACUCCCUGGGGGGAGGACAACAGGACUGUGCGUUCAUUGUGAGACACUCAUGGAGGCUGGCCCAGCUAGAGAAGCCUGGGAAGGACUCCUUCUUGUCUUGGGAUCUUGGCAUCAAAGGAAAGGGGAGCCCUCCUCAGGAGCAGCUGCACCAAAGCUGGCUCUUGAAGAUGCCUUGAGGGCCUGGAAAACACACCUGCUGGUGGCAGCCUGGAGCAGUUCAGUGGGACGAGGAGAGUGAGGCACGGGACGUCUAUGUGGGUGGUCAAGAGUCAGCGAGCAGCAGAGCAUUCGUUUAUGAAGACGCCAUUUCUCCCCACUCCUGCCAAUCCUAGGAGCAGCAUUUCUAAUCUCUUGAUAAUCUGAGAACAGGAAAAAAAAGAA